rnacentral:rRNA from 1 species
AUUGAACGCUGGCGGCAGGCCUAACACAUGCAAGUCGAACGGUAGCACAGAGAGCUUGCUCUCGGGUGACGAGUGGCGGACGGGUGAGUAAUGUCUGGGAAACUGCCCGAUGGAGGGGGAUAACUACUGGAAACGGUAGCCAAUACCGCAUAACGUCGCCAGCACAAAGUGGGUGACCUUCGGGCCUCACACCAUCGGAUGUGCCCAGAUGGGAUUAGCUAGUAGGUGGGGUAAUGGCUCACCUAGGCGACGAUCCCUAGCUGGUCUGAGAGGAUGACCAGCCACACUGGAACUGAGACACGGUCCAGACUCCUACGGGAGGCAGCAGUGGGGAAUAUUGCACAAUGGGCGCAAGCCUGAUGCAGCCAUGCCGCGUGUAUGAAGAAGGCCUUCGGGUUGUAAAGUACUUUCAGCGGGGAGGAAGGCGGUGAAGUUAAUAACUUCACCGAUUGACGUUACCCGCAGAAGAAGCACCGGCUAACUCCGUGCCAGCCGCCGCAGUAA